GACGAACGCUGGCGGCGUGCCUAAUACAUGCAAGUUGAGCGAUGAAGAUUGGUGCUUGCACCAAUUUGAAGAGCAGCGAACGGGUGAGUAACGCGUGGGGAAUCUGCCUUUGAGCGGGGGACAACAUUUGGAAACGAAUGCUAAUACCGCAUAACAACUUUAAACAUAAGUUUUAAGUUUGAAAGAUGCAAUUGCAUCACUCAAAGAUGAUCCCGCGUUGUAUUAGCUAGUUGGUGAGGUAAAGGCUCACCAAGGCGAUGAUACAUAGCCGACCUGAGAGGGUGAUCGGCCACAUUGGGACUGAGACACGGCCCAAACUCCUACGGGAGGCAGCAGUAGGGAAUCUUCGGCAAUGGACGAAAGUCUGACCGAGCAACGCCGCGUGAGUGAAGAAGGUUUUCGGAUCGUAAAACUCUGUUGGAAGAGAAGAACGUUGGUGAGAGUGGAAAGCUCAUCAAGUGACGGUAACUACCCAGAAAGGGACGGCUAACUACGUG
rnacentral:rRNA from 1 species